CCCUUAGAUGUUCUGGGCCGCACGCGCGCUACACUGUUCGACGCAGCGAGUCUUAACCUUGACCGAAAGGUUUGGGUAAUCUUCAGCAAAGUCGAACGUGAUGGGGAUCGAUCAUUGCAAUUAUUGAUCGUGAACGAGGAAUUCCUAGUAAGUGCAAGUCAUCAGCUUGCGCUGAUUACGUCCCUGCCCUUUGUACACACCGCCCGUCGCUACUACCGAUUGAAUGGUUUAGUGAGAUCUCUGGAUUGACGCUGGCUAGGGGGCGACCCUUGGCCAGGCUGUCGAGAAACUGCUCAAACUUGAUAAUUUAGAGGAAGUAAAAGUCGUAACA
rnacentral:rRNA from 1 species